CUCCCAGUGCCCUCAUGACUCAGUGCCCCCAUGUGUCGAAUACUCCAGGUCUCAGUGUUCCUAUAUAUCAGUGUCUCAGUGCCCCAUGUUUCCCAGUGCCCCCAAGUGUCAUGUCCCCAGGUCUCCCAGUGAUCCUAUGUAUCACAGUGUCUCAAUGCCCCAUGUCUCCCUAUGUAUCCCAGGGUCCCCAUGUCAUUAGGACACUAGGAAGAUGGGGAGACCUGGGGACAUGGGGAUAUCUAGGGACACGGAGACACCAGUGACACUGGGAGACUAGGGGACUCUGGCUGGGACACAUGGGGACAAUGGGAAAAUAGGGGACACUUGAAGACAUGGGGACACAGACACUAGAGACACUGGUUGAGGGACAUGUGGACAUUGAGACAUGGGGGCACUGGGAGACAUGGGGACACUGAGACACCAGGGCCACAGACACUAGGGACACUAGCUUGGAGAUAUGGGGACAUUGUGACACUUGAGGCACUGAGAGACAUAGAGACACUAGGAGACAUGGGGACAGUGAGACACUGGCAGACUGGGGGCAC